GACGAACGCUGGCGGCGUGCUUAACACAUGCAAGUCGAACGGAAAGGCCCUGCUUGCAGGGUACUCGAGUGGCGAACGGGUGAGUAACACGUGGGUGAUCUGCCCUGCACUUCGGGAUAAGCCUGGGAAACUGGGUCUAAUACCGGAUAGGAGCCAUUUUUAGUGUGAUGGUUGGAAAGUUUUUUCGGUGUAGGAUGAGCUCGCGGCCUAUCAGCUUGUUGGUGGGGUAAUGGCCUACCAAGGCGGCGACGGGUAGCCGGCCUGAGAGGGUGGACGGCCACAGUGGGACUGAGAUACGGCCCAGACUCCUACGGGAGGCAGCAGUGGGGAAUAUUGCACAAUGGGCGCAAGCCUGACGCAGCGACGCCGCGUGGGGGAUGACGGCCUUCGGGUUGUAAACUCCUUUCGCUAGGGACGAAGCUUUUUGUGACGGUACCUAGAUAAGAAGCACCGGCUAACUACGUG
rnacentral:rRNA from 1 species